CUGCUGGUAGGGCGGGUAAACCUUUUGACUACGGAUCAGAAGGUUGGGGGUUCGAAUCCCUCCGGGCGCACCA
rnacentral:tRNA from 1 species